UUCAUGAUGAAGAGCUGGACGAUGAUGAAGAGGAUGAAGAUGAGGAAGGACACAAGGGUCAGGAGCAGGACGCCGCUCUUCUUCCUGUCCUAGGUCACAGAUAAAAGAGGAAACAAAGCAGAGGUGAGAUCUCUUUAUAUGUAAGAUCACCGGAGAUUUCCCAGGCCUCUCUUCAGCAGUCUUACACAUGAUAAGCAGUAAGGCUCUCCUCAGCUGUCACUGUCACCAAAGGACCUGACUCACUCUGAGACAGUUUGGGGCUGUCAGUUCCAGUAAGACAGCAGUCAGAAGCUGAGUGCAGAGGAGAGAGGAAGCCGCACCUGACACCCAGAACACCAUCUCAAGCAUCGAGGAGAGGCUGGUACUUCCCUUGGACACAUCAGGCCUGUGGGUCAGCCCUUCCCUGAACGUCUGGAAGCAAUGGAACUUUCUUCCCCCCACAGACCUCAUUUACUGUCACUGCUGCCCUGUGUGUCCCGGCUCAAGUCCGUUUCCCCGCCACCCCCUUAAAGUCUGCCACGGUCUUCAAAAAGCAGCGAAGAGCUCGGCGUCCGCUUACCCGUGGAAUAUCCAGGUGCUGCACUCGUCAGCCUUGGUGAUGUAGUUCUCGGGCAGGAGUCCGGAGCAGCCGGUGGUCAAGGACGUGCCGUAGACCCAGCCCUCGCUGGUGCUGGUCUGCUCCAUGGGAGACAUGAAGAUGAAGUCCCCGGGGACCAGCUCCAGCUCAUCGUCGUUCUGCGGGGUGUAUGGAUAGAUCACCUGCAAUGUCUGGAAGAGGAGGAGAGGGGGGCGUGAGGCCCCCGCCUGACCUCUGGGCACCUCUGGGGCCAUCCGCACGCUCGGCUCUACCAGGGCCCACAUCCAGAGGCUGGCCUUCCCAGCCACCCCUGCAGUCUGCAGGCUCUGAGCAGACCAGAAGGCAUUUCUUCUCUUUUCAGGGUAUUAUGAGUGUGUGCCUGGCGCUACGGGGCUGGUCCCAGACUUUCCCUCAGGCAUGUCUUUGCUUCAAAAGACAGGGUUAUUAGAAAUUCAUCGGAAAACCCAUAGGCUCUCCAGUCAACUGAAGUACAAACAGGGUUGGACCUAGUUUUCCCUGCUCCACCUGCAGAGGUAGGUGCUGUGACAGACCCCGGACACCCAGCUCACAGGAAGGGAGUGGAGAGGCUCUCCUGUAGGCAGGCCUUGGGAGUGAAGCAUUCUCCUUUCUAUGUAAGUUGGCUGCUUAAACAACACAUCAUCGUCCCUGCCUUCAAGGAGCUUUCUUUAAACCUCUGUUUUUAACGAAGACCUUGAAAGAAAAGCAUCCUUCAUAGCCAUCAGUGGUAAAGCCUGUGUGUAACCAGCUUUUGUCGGUAAACAGAUGGAGACCACGUGUUCCUUCCCUGGGCUCAGGAAAAGCCCCCAGGGCCCACCUCAGGCUGUGCCACGUGGCCAAUUUAUUCUAUUUCUUGCCUCCUUUUCUGCUGUACGUAACACCCCAGGCAUAUGCAUGAAGACUUUGGAAAACAUUUAACUACUUUUUCGUUAACAGCAGGAGACCUCAAUAGUCAGGAAAAUGCUUUCUAUCCGGUAUGCUUCACGAGGGGACACUGCGGUGGAGCUCUUUUAUCAGCGUUUCCAACCGUCCUGAAGCCGCUAGCGGCCGGCUAAGUAUUCUGGUUCCCACCACGUACAGGUUUUGAACUUUGGCCUCGGUUUUCUCAGCGUCUGUAAAAUAACACCUGGAUUAUAAGAGGUAAAUGAGACAAUCUAAGGAAACUCCUGAGCACGCUGGUACACAGAAGGGGCAUAAUAAUUUCUACCGAACCAUGACACCUGGCUUUCCAGGGACUUUCUUCCGUCUAGCUGACGCUGACACCCGACCCUGGUGCUGGAUAGGCUUGUGAGCUAGUCAACUCCCCAAGGUCAAGGUGAGCCAUUGGAACACAUCAUAAAGAAUUUCCUUCUGGAGAUCUUUAAUGAGAGGAGCCAGUAAAAACGUGAUUUUUUCCUCCCAGAGAAUGAACAUGAUCAUGCCCAGAACUUGACCGGCAUUUCCCAGAGAAUGAACGUGAUCGUGCCCAGAACUUGACCGGCACCCCUGGAUUUCGGAUGUUCCUUUUAUUUAGGGCACCCGUUUCUUUCCCUAAGUCUCACUCCGGCAUCUUUCCGCUCAGACCUUCUUGCCCUCCGCUCACCUCCCCACGCCUCUGCCACCUACGCACUCCAACCACAUUUGCAAACUCCCCGGGAAGGCUUUCUGCUGGGUGGUUGGAACAGCUUCAAGAAAAAACAUAUGCCCAGGAAAUCCCUUAAGUCUCUAAGCAAGGUUUGUAUUGCUUGGCACAGAAGACCGGCAGGCGCACUGGAAUCACUAACCGGGAAGAGACGCCAUGAAGCACGAGCAGCCAUGCGCACGCCCACAUCCAGCAGAGGGCUGAGACCCAGCGUUUUCCUAGGCUUCCCUUGCUGUGUGUCCCAGCCUAAACCGCGCGCCUUCUCUGGACAUCUGUUAUGUCACUGGCGCGAUCGAUCAACCCUGCCUCUCGGCACAGAGGAGGAGGAAGGCGGGGCGAUGCUGCCAUGUGCAGGGAGGCUCAGGUAAAGCCAAAUGACCUCAGAGGGGGAGCGGUAUUGGGAGGAACAGUAAUAAAUGAGCUUUUACAAAUAAGAGAUAAAAGAGGCCAUGUUAUUUUUAGAAGAUAAUUCAUGGGGCGCUAGCCACCUCCUUCCCUCAGUGCCGAGUGAGCGGAAUGUGGGUCAGGCAAGAAAGCAAUUACCCUUUGCGUUAACUGGAGGGCAGUGUUGAUUCGAAGAUAUUCCUCGGAAAAUUCCACUGCCACCUUCCUUCUGCUGGAAAGGUGACUUCUCUCAGUCCCUCUGCACACCACCCUUGACUUUUUUUUCCUCUGCCCUCGGAAGGAAUCCAAUCAGCCACACCUCUCUUGUUCUAUUUACAUCCUGAGCAAAUCCAGGAGAUGUCAGAAUUCUGCAGUGAGAUUAAGCCCAGUCUCCUUGCUGUGUCUUUACUGGCAUCAGGUGCCUGGAAGGAGGGCCUGACACUCCCAUCAGCAGAGUCAGACGAAGCUGCCCGUCCCUGCCACUCCCGGGCCCCGGGCCCAGGCCUGGACCUCUCUCAGGGGUUGGCUCUUUCCAACACUUCCAAAACAACGGUGAGGUCUCCUGGCCUGGACCCUGUGUUCUGAGCUGUUUCUUCUAUUUAAAAUAUCUAGGAGAGAUGUUAAAAGGCUACAUAAACUAACAAAAACAUCAGUUCUUCUGCUGGUGAAAAAUCUGGAAACAAAUACAAGCGUUGUUUCAUAAGUGUAGUUAAACUGGAUGACAAUUUUUGCAAACAAUGUGCUCAUUUUUUAGACGGCUUGCCCGUCUUUAUUGGUCAGAACCCCUGGAUUCUCUGGCUUCAAUUCUGGUCCUAAAUUGCUAUUUAAGCUUUAGACCAGCUGCCUCAUUUC